GACGAACGCUGGCGGCGUGCCUAAUACAUGCAAGUCGAGCGCAGGAAACUGACGGAACUCUUCGGAGGGAAGGCAGUGGAAUGAGCGGCGGACGGGUAAGUAACACGUAAGGAACCUGCCUCAAGGAUUGGGAUAACUCAGAGAAAUCGGAGCUAAUACCGGAUAGUUCAUCGGACCGCAUGGUCCGUUGAUGAAAGGCGCUCCGGCGUCACCUUGAGAUGGCCUUGCGGUGCAUUAGCUAGUUGGUGGGGUAACGGCCCACCAAGGAGACAAUGCAUAGCCGACCUGAGAGGGUGAUCGGCCACACUGGGACGGAGACACGGCCCAGACUCCUACGGGAGGCAGCAGUAGGGAAUCUUCCACAAUGGACGAAAGUCUGAUGGAGCAACGCCGCGUGAGUGAUGAAGGUUUUCGGAUCGUAAAACUCUGUUGUAAGGGAAGAACACGUACGAGAGGGAAUGCUCGUACCUUGACGGUACCUUACGAGAAAGCCACGGCUAACUACGUGCCAGCCGCCGCCGUAA
rnacentral:rRNA from 1 species